rnacentral:lncRNA from 1 species
UUGGGUUGCUAGACAGGACUGAGAAAUGAUUCUGAUAUUAGAACAGAAGAACCUGUGCAAAGAUCCUGAGGCAGAAGGAGUAUACUGUGACAUUUCACCCCAGUGUGGUCCUGAAGCAGAGGAGACAGGCUGGAGAAGGAGGCAGAUCCAUCAGGCCAGGCAGUUCUUGGAUGAUUCCAGCUCUUAUUCUUGUUGCAGUAAGAAGCCACUGAAAGCACCAAGAAAACUGUUGCAAGCAAGAAUUGAGGAGAGGCUGGCUCGACAUACUCCUGGAGUACCCUGUGGUCAGGGUUCAAGGUGCUGCUGUGGAAAGAGCACUGCUAAACUGAGGCUGAGGGCCAGGGAUUUAGCUCAAUGGUUCCGCUGCCUGCCUAGAAAGCACAAGAAACCUGGAUGAAAUGCCUGGAGAUGAUGCAGCCAUUUUGCAAAGAUGAAGCAAAAAAGUCACCAUCUAGGGCUGGCGGGGCAGAAAGCUGCAAAGAUCCAUCAAGAACAGCUGACUGGCUUAAUUCCAGACUUCUUGUUAUGUGAGGAAAUUCAAUUUCUAUUACAAAAAGCUACUGAGGCUGGUUUUGUGUUCCAUGCAGCCAACACAAUCCUAACUGAUAAACUGAAAUGGAACAGCUGGAGUUGACAGCUAUUCAUCAUAAGGAAGCAGAAAACCACCACAAAUCUUUCUCCCCUAGAAGAUCUCUACCUGUCACUUUCAGUCCCAGGGCACACACCUGACAUGCAGAUAAAUUGAGAAUAUAAACAUCACAUAUUCCUUUUUAGAGUGGGUCCUGCAUAGUCCUUAGCAGCUACCUCUAUAUUGGGGCCUUGCUUUGGGGGAAGUGGAGAAAGCCAAAGCAAUCAGAAUGGGAUACAGGUAAAAUUAAGUCUUACUCUUCCUGCAGAGAAUUAAAACAUUUAAGAACACAGC